CGGGCAGUGGCGCAGGGGUUUAGCGUACAAGUCUGGGGGACUUGGAGUCGCUGGUUCAAAUCCAGUCUGCCCGA
rnacentral:tRNA from 3 species